UCCUGUGACUAUGAAUUGAUCCUGGCAGC
rnacentral:piRNA from 1 species